CGAAACCGAUAGCGAACAAGUACCGUGAGGGAAAGUUGAAAAGUACUCUGAAUAGAGAGUUAAAUAGUACGUGAAACCGCUUAGGGGUUAAGCCCGAUGAACCCGAAUAUCUGAUGUGAGAAAUUCAAUACAGUUCAAAUUCUGAUUUUUAUGUUGGAUUUGUAUAGUAUGCACUUUUCUCAUAGUAAGACAUUGUAAUCCAUUGAUAUUAUAUCUCAAUUUCGAGAUGAUUUAACAUACGGACAAAAUGUUUAUGAUUAUUCUAUCAGUGAUAUGUUUACAUGUCAUAUGAAUAAAAUCGUUUUGUACCUGUUUAAAUAGUCGAUGGAUUUUCCAUUGAAAUCAUGCUUGCAAUUUAUUUUGCGUUUCGUAUCAUUAAUUUUUAAUUGGUGAUAGCAGAAAUGGCAUGUAUUCGAUUAACAAUGCGAUAGAUUUGGGAUACUUUCAGGACCCGUCUUGA
rnacentral:rRNA from 1 species